CUGAGAAUCAACAACGCCAGACCACUCCGAACAAACUCUCUAGUCGAAGACAUGGACGGUUUGCUUGGGAAAUACCUCUUCAUGGUGGUUGCUGCCACAUUCGCUACACUACUGAUGGCCCCAAAAGAAUCCGUGGCAGUUCCCAGCUUUGUCGUGGACACUCUUCAAAAGGAGUUAGGACGACAUGAAGAAAAUGUCGAGUAGCGACGCAUCAGUCUUGGUGAUACAAUGUGGGCGAUCUGCGUUCAACUGAAGACGC